rnacentral:rRNA from 1 species
GAGAGUUUGAUCCUGGCUCAGGAUGAACGCUGGCGGCGUGUCUAAGGCAUGCAAGUCGAGGGACCCCUUCGGGGGAACCGGCAGACGGGAGAGUAACACAUUGGUAACCUACCUCAUACUCGAGAAUAACCCAGAGAAAUUUGGACUAAUACUCGAUGGACUCCGCUCACACAAGUGUUGCGGAGUAAAGCUCCGGCGGUAUGAGAGGGACUUAUGGCCCAUCAGUUUGUUGGUGAGGUAAUGGCCCACCAAGACUACGACGGGUAGCGGGCGUGAGAGCGUGGCCCGCCUCAUGGGGACUGAGACACUGCCCUGACUCCUACGGGAGGCUGCAGUCAAGAAUCUUCCACAAUGGCCGAAAGGCUGAUGGAGCGACGCCGCGUGCAGGAAGACGCCCUUCGGGGUGUAAACUGCUUUUCUCUGGGACGAACAAAUGACGGUACCAGAGGAAUAAGGGGUUGCUAACCUCGUGCCAGCAGCAGCGGUAAUACGAGGACCCCAAGCGUUAUCCGGAUUUACUGGGCGUAAAGCGUCCGCAGGCUGUUUGAUUAGUUUUUAGUGAAAGACCACGGCUCAACCGGGGAUACGCUAAAAAUACUGUCAGACUAGAGACUGGGAGAGGCAAGCGGAACUGCCGGUGUAGCGGUAAAAUGUGUUAAUAUCGGCAGGAACACCAAAGGCGAAGGCAGCUUGCUAGAACAGUUCUGACGCUCAUGGACGAAAGCGUGGGGAGCGAAAGGGAUUAGAUACCCCUGUAGUCCACGCCGUAAACGUUGAGUGCUAGGUAUUCAGAGUAUCGACCCUCUGAGUGCCGUUUAAAAAAGCUAACGCGUUAAGCACUCCGCCUGGGGAGUACGGCCGCAAGGCUAAAACUCAAAGGAAUAGACGGGGACCUGCACAAGCGGUGGAGCAUGCGGUUUAAUUCGACGAUAAGCGAGGAACCUUACCAGGGCUUGACAUCUAGCUGCAAAUCCUAAGAGAUUAGGACUCUUUCGAAGGUGCUAGACAGGUGCUGCAUGGUUGCCGUCAGCUCGUGGCGUGAGCUGUUCCCUUAAUUGGGGUAACGAGCGCAACCCCCGUGCUGUGUUAAAUAUUCACAGCAGACUGCCCCGGGAUACGGGGAGGAAGGUGGGGACGACGUCAAAUCAGCAUGGCCCUUACGUCCUGGGCCACACGCAUGCUACAAUGGCCGAUACAAUGGGCAGCCAAGUCGUAAGACGGAGCCAAUCCCAUCAAAAUCGGUCUCAGUUCGGAUUGAGGUCUGAAACUCGACCUCAUGAAGUUGGAAUCGCUAGUAAACGCAAAUCAGCCUCGUUGCGUUGAAUACGUUCUCAGGUCUUGUACUCACCGCCCGUCACAUCAAGAGAGUCGCGAAUACCCGAAGUCCCAAUUAGGGCCCACGGUAGGCGUGAUAAUAGGGAUGAAGUCGUAACAAGGCAUCCGUAGCGGAAGCUGUGGAUGGAUCACCUCCUUUC